rnacentral:lncRNA from 1 species
CCACAGUAGAUAGAAAACUUGGGUCGCCUAUUAAGCCGUAAUAUAGACACCGGGAACAUCUAAAUGGGUGUUUGGAUUGAUUUCGACUAGUCCUAUAUGUUCAUGAGUCCUUCUAGUCUUUUUCGGCUGGAACCAAUAACAUUUGAAGACUACGACGUUCGGUGGGUUUUCACCAUACAAUUGAAGUUCAUAAAUUGCUUCAACUCUUCCAUAAUACUCGAUAACACC